GGUGUCAGCGUCUGUUCAGUCUCAGUGUUGUUCCGCGAUUUCAGCUCCCAGUGUUAUUCCGUUUGUUGCCUCUAUUUACCAAGUUUAUUAAGUUUACAUUGAAAUAAAUUAAGUUUUCGUGAUGCAAGGGACAUUACGGAAUUGCGUUGCUCGACUGUUCAUCAGCGAUCAAGGCGAUCAACAAAGAAAUCUGCUGCUGCUCCAGAUAAUUAGUUUGUUUCCAUUACUUUGGCAAACGUGUAUAUUUCAAUAAUGAUAAUAAUUCUGGGGACGGCGGAAAAGAAAAUAAACCAUCGAUGCUACCAGAAAGCAGCCGUACGGAGAGUGAUGUCAUCAGUUUUGACAUAUUAUAAAAGAGAACUGAACAAAGCAGAAUAAUACGCAUAAAAGUUAGAAUGUCAGAGUGUAUCAAACAUGAAAAAGUUGUAAUGAAUUACAUAUACAUAUACUGCCGCUCUUCGGCAAGUGGAGACAACGUCGAUUGAAUUUUUUGUUUAAUUUUCGGUUAUUUUGUGUCGGCAUGGCUUGUUCUAGACAUUACUUCUGUGUGGUACAAACCGUCGAAGCCAGUAAGCCAGUGGUAACUGUGGUUCCGCAUCAAUGGAUUGACGGGAAAUUUCUUCUCUGGCCUCCUAAAAAACCCGAUCGCCUAAGAAAAACGGCGUCUUCAAAACCAGAAUCUAACUAAGUACUUCAACGACGUUUGUUACCAUCGAAAACACGUCUGCGUUAAGUGUUGAUAAUUUGGUUUGCGAACCCAUAGAAGGAUUCGAAACAGAGCAACCAAUUGCUACUUCUUAUACGCUACCUGGUCCCAGUACUGCAAUUAUACACCGGAGUGAAGAUCGUGCAUUUGACCCACUAUUUGACCGCGAUGAACAUGUAACAAUGAACGACGUUAUGCAAAAGAUUGACAUGGCAAAAAACGAAAUUAUUUCUACUGUGCAGCAGACGAUGGAAAGUUUGGUCACCAGAACUAUAUCAGUUAUAAAAAGUGACUUCGACACUAAAAUCCUGCAUUUGCAAAAUUCAAUACGGCCCACAAGCGUUGUAUCAAAGAACUUUUCAUUUUCAUUAGUUUGCACUAUCGAACAAUUACAAGAGCUGGAUUCGAAGCUCGAAGAUCAUCUAUAUACAGAAAACGUGAAAAAAUAUAUGAUGGACAAGAUAAGCAAUGUUGCAGAUACAGUCAAUGGGCAAAAUACAUGCUACGAGCUUGUUGAUCAUUUUUUUGAUCGAAAGCUAAUGUUGAAAUGUUCAUGGACCGGUGCAAGCAAAAAUGAAAACCCAAAAUGUGCACUACGUUUGUAUAAAAACGUUCUCAACACAUUUUUCGAAAUCGUCAAGGGUAUCAAUUCAAUUGCUUUAACGUCAAAUUGAUGGAACAUUUUUUCAAGUCAGUCACGAGAAAUUCUAAGAAGCGUUGUGAAGCCAAGGGGUUGCGCUGCUCGACCGUUCACCGGAGAUAAAAAAAAAAGAUCACUUCCGUUGCAAUUGCUGAAUGUAUGAUCACUGAUGAUGCGGGAAAAGAGAACGAAACCGCUUUGCUACAAGCAAACAGCGACACAGAAGAGGAAAGUGAUAGUGAAGAUUGAGCAUCUGUUACGUUUUCGCCUAGUUUUAAGUAAUCUUUUAUUAAUUAAUUAUUUUAUGCUAAGCUUGAUCUGUAAUUCGUUAUUCUGUAUGUAAGUUAAGAGUAGAAGCAGGACAAAAAAGAUUCAA